rnacentral:rRNA from 1 species
UACGUAGGGUGCAAGCGUUGUCCGGAUUUAUUGGGCGUAAAGAGCUCGUAGGCGGUCUGUCGCGUCGGAUGUGAAAACCCAGGGCUCAACCCUGGGCCUGCAUUCGAUACGGGCAGACUAGAGUGUGGCAGGGGAGAGUGGAAUUCCCGGUGUAGCGGUGAAAUGCGCAGAUAUCGGGAAGAACACCCGUGGCUAAGGCGGCUCUCUAGUACGGUACUGACGCUGAGACGCGAAAGCGUGGGGAGCGAACAGG